rnacentral:rRNA from 1 species
CCUACGGGAGGCAGCAGUGAGGAAUAUUGGUCAAUGGACGCAAGUCUGAACCAGCCAUGCCGCGUGCAGGAAGACGGCUCUAUGAGUUGUAAACUGCUUUUGUACGAGGGUAAACGCAGAUACGCGUAUCUGUCUGAAAGUAUCGUACGAAUACGGAUCGGCUAACUCCGUGCCAGCAGCCGCGGUAAUACGGAGGAUUCAAGCGUUAUCCGGAUUUAUUGGGUUUAAAGGGUGCGUAGGCGGUCGGAUAAGUUAGAGGUGAAAUCCCGAGGCUCAACUUCGGAAUUGCCUCUGAUACUGUUCGGCUAGAGAGUAGUUGCGGUAGGCGGAAUGUAUGGUGUAGCGGGGAAAUGCUUAGAGAUCAUACAGAACACCGAUUGCGAAGGCAGCUUACCAAGCUACUUCUGACGUUGAGGCACGAAAGCGUGGGGAGCAAACAGGAUUAGAUACCCCGGUAGUC